AGCGAACGCUGGCGGCAGGCCUAACACAUGCAAGUCGAACGAACCUUUCGGGGUUAGUGGCGGACGGGUGAGUAACACGUGGGAACGUGCCUUUAGGUUCGGAAUAACUCAGGGAAACUUGUGCUAAUACCGAAUGUGCCCUUCGGGGGAAAGAUUAAUCGCCUUUAGAGCGGCCCGCUUCUGAUUAGCUAGUUGGUUGAGGUAAUGGCUCACCAAGGCGACGAUCAGUAGCUGGUCUGAGAGGAUGAUCAGCCACAUUGGGACUGAGACACGGCCCAAACUCCUACGGGAGGCAGCAGUGGGGAAUCUUGCGCAAUGGGCGAAAGCCUGACGCAGCCAUGCCGCGUGAAUGAUGAAGGUCUUAGGAUUGUAAAAUUCUUUCACCGGGGACGAUAAUGACGGUACCCGGAGAAGAAGCCCCGGCUAACUUCGUG
rnacentral:rRNA from 1 species